rnacentral:rRNA from 1 species
CCCGCUGAAGUUAAGCAUAUUACUAGAGCGCAUGAGAAGAUAACUACAGUGAUUCCCCCAGUAACGGCGAGUGAAGAGGGAAGAGCCCAAGAUUGAAUCCGCAGUGCGAGCGAACGCGAGAGCUGUGGAAUUGUAUGUGCCAGGGUGAGAGGGACAAGGCGUUGAGGAGUGUGGUUGAGUGAUCUGAAAAGGUCUCACCACAGAGGGACUAUGGUCCCAUGGCCGUCACACGCCCUCAGCGUCAACAACGUUCCCCCAUUCGCAAGAGUCAGCUGCAGUUUGAGAAUGCUGCACUAAAUCGCUGGUGUGCUUCAGCGAAGGGUAAAUAUUGCUCUGAUACCGAUAGCGAACAAGUAGUGUGAUCUAAAGAUGAAAAGAAUUUUGAAAAGAGAGUCAAAAGGACUUGAAAUCGUUGGGCGUCACAGGGUAUGGGACUCCCUGUGCGUCGUGCGCUACCUCUUUGGGGUGUUGCCUGAUAAGACCAGUUGGUGUUGUUAUUCCCUCCUGGUGGCGUAGGCCGAGCUCUGCCGAUUCGUUCGUUCGCAGAGUCGUCUGUGAUUCGCUCCGGUGAGUGGACUGACUGUUCAUGAAUAGGGGUAGGCUUUGCUUCGCCCGCAUUGGUGUGUGUCGGUCGCGCGGCGAGCAUUCACCUCUUCGCCGGUGUUUCUCUCGCGUCGCCGCGCGUCCUCUCUGACCGGUGAGCGCGGUCACCUUGAUACUUAUCAUCGAAUGAUCUCAUACCACCCGUCGUGAAACACGG